AUUGAACGCUGGCUGCAGGCUUAACCCAUGCAAGUCGAGCGAGCGGCGGACGGGUGAGUAAUGUCUGGGAAACUGCCUGAUGGAGGGGGAUAACAACUGGAAACGGUAGCUAAUACCGCAUACCAUCAGAUGUGCCCAGAUGGGAUUAGCCAGUAGGUGUGGUAAUGGCUCACCUAGGCGACGAUCCCUAGCUGGGCUGAUAGGAUGACCAACCACACUGGAACUGUGACACGGUCCAGACUCAUACGAGAGGCAGCAGUGGGGAAUAUUGCAACAUGGGCGCAAGCCUAAUAAAGCCAUGCCGCGUGUGUUAAGAAGGCCUUCGGGUUUUAAAGCACUUUCAGCGAGGAGGCGUUACUCGCAGAAGAAGCACCGGCUAACUCCGUGCCAGCCGCCGCGGUAAUUC
rnacentral:rRNA from 1 species